UACGGGGGGGGCAAGCGUUGUUCGGAAUUACUGGGCGUAAAGGGCUCGUAGGCGGCCAACUAAGUCAGACGUGAAAUCCCUCGGCUUAACCGGGGAACUGCAUCUGAUACUGGAUGGCUUGAGUUCGGGAGAGGGAUGUGGAAUUCCAGGUGUAGCGGUGAAAUGCGUAGAUAUCUGGAGGAACACCGGUGGCGAAGGCGGCAUCCUGGACCAAUAUUGACGCUGAGGAGCGAAAGCCAGGGGAGCAAACGGG
rnacentral:rRNA from 1 species